rnacentral:rRNA from 1 species
CCGACACAGGUAGUCAAGAUGAGAAUUCUAAGGUGAGCGAGCGAACUCUCGUUAAGGAACUCGGCAAAAUGACCCCGUAACUUCGGGAGAAGGGGUGCUCUUUGAGGUUCACGCUUCGAAGAGCCGCAGUGAAUAGGCCCAAGCGACUGUUUAUCAAAAACACAGGUCUCUGCUAAACCGUAAGGUGACGUAUAGGGGCUGACGCCUGCCCGGUGCUGGAAGGUUAAGAGGAGUGGUUAGCGCAAGCGAAGCUACGAAUCGAAGCCCCAGUAAACGGCGGCCGUAACUAUAACGGUCCUAAGGUAGCGAAAUUCCUUGUCGGGUAAGUUCCGACCCGCACGAAAGGCGUAACGAUUUGGGCACUGUCUCAACGAGAGACUCGGUGAAAUCAUAGUACCGGUGAAGAUGCCGGUUACCCGCGACAGGACGGAAAGACCCCGUGGAGCUUUACUGUAGCCUGAUAUUGAAAUUCGGUACAGUUUGUACAGGAUAGGUAGGAGCCUUAGAAGCGUGAGCGCUAGCUUACGUGGAGGCAUUGGUGGGAUACUACCCUAAUUGUAUUGGAUUUCUAACCCGCAGCACUUAUCGUGCUGGGAGACAGUGUCAGGCGGGCAGUUUGACUGGGGCGGUCGCCUCCUAAAGAGUAACGGAGGCGCUCAAAGGUUCCCUCAGAAUGGUUGGAAAUCAUUCAUAGAGUGUAAAGGCAUAAGGGAGCUUGACUGCGAGACCUACAAGUCGAGCAGGGUCGAAAGACGGACUUAGUGAUCCGGUGGUUCCGCAUGGAAGGGCCAUCGCUCAACGGAUAAAAGCUACCCCGGGGAUAACAGGCUUAUCUCCCCCAAGAGUUCACAUCGACGGGGAGGUUUGGCACCUCGAUGUCGGCUCAUCGCAUCCUGGGGCUGUAGUCGGUCCCAAGGGUUGGGCUGUUCGCCCAUUAAAGCGGUACGCGAGCUGGGUUCAGAACGUCGUGAGACAGUUCGGUCCCUAUCCGUCGUGGGCGUAGGAAAUUUGAGAGGAGCUGUCCUUAGUACGAGAGGACCGGGAUGGACAUACCUCUGGUGUACCAGUUGUCGUGCCAACGGCAUAGCUGGGUAGCUAUGUAUGGACGGGAUAAGUGCUGAAAGCA